UACGUAGGUGGCAAGCGUUGUCCGGAUUUACUGGGUGUAAAGGGCGUGUAGCCGGGAAGGCAAGUCAGAUGUGAAAUCCGGAGGCUCAACCUCCGAAUUGCAUUUGAAACUGUUUUUCUUGAGUACUGGAGAGGCAGGCGGAAUUCCUAGUGUAGCGGUGAAAUGCGUAGAUAUUAGGAGGAACACCAGUGGCGAAGGCGGCCUGCUGGGCUUUUACUGACGCUGAGGCUCGAAAGUGUGGGGAGCAAACAGG
rnacentral:rRNA from 1 species